CAGGGAGACAACAAAAUGUUUAAUAUUAUUAUUUUGUCACCUUAGGUCGAUCGGUAUCUCACGUUCUUAAUUUAUUAAGAAUUUCAUUUCCUAAGUUUUUCUAGGUCACACCCAUUAUUUUUCCUGGGCCAUUAGCUCAGGUGGUUAGAGCGCACCCCUGAUAAGGGUGAGGUCCCUGGUUCAAGUCCAGGAUGGCCCAUAUCUCUAUGUUGGGGGUAUAGCUCAGUUGGUAGAGCGCCUGCUUUGCAAGCAGGAUGUCAGCGGUUCGAGUCCGCUUACCUCCACUGAUUACCACCUCUUCCAUAAUCUGUAGAAAGGAAAUGUUUUGAGUUGUGAUCAAAUUCUGAACGAAUCUAGCUUCCUAAUGAAAUUAUUAAGAUGCUGGACUCAUUGAAUUAAAUUCAUUGUUUUCAGAGAACCUUGACAACUGCAUAGAUUAUUUUUAAAGACAAUAAGCAUCUUUAAUGAUGCAGAUUUAUUAUUUGUGCAAAUGCAUUAAUAACAAUUCUAUUAAGCUGAUGCUUCAAUUUUGAAGUUAUU
rnacentral:tRNA from 1 species